rnacentral:tRNA from 13 species
GGCGCCGUGGCUUGUUGAUUAAAGCGCCUGUCUGGUAAAGCAGGAGAUCACGAGUUCGAAUCUCGUCGGUGCCU